UUGACACAUAUUUAUAACAUCAGUUGAGAGCCAAAGGUUGAACGUUAUUGGAAGGACACUUGUUCGUGGCGGGGCUCCAUGAAGGCACGGCUACAGUAACUCCACCGCUAUGUGGAUUUCACACUAUGACGCUUAUUUCAGUGCCGGAUAGUGACACAGUCCAUUACCAGAACAAACGUUCUGGAGGAUUCAUGCGGGGAGGUGAUGUGGGGAAACAGGACUAAAAAGGGCCGGCAUGCCACGCGGGCAGACCUCCGAUUAUGUUGUCACCUAAACACGUUGGUGCUGGAGAAAGUAUCUUAAAAUGCAUCCAUUAAAGAGGAUUCAGAGAUCUGUGGCACGGCCACACCCAGCACUGGAAUCCCUGGCUGUUAAACGUAAGAACAGGAGAUGCGGGGAGGACGCCGCUGUGCCAGCCGUGCUGGAGCUGGGGGGCGUUUGGCAGAGAUCAUCAUCAGUCCCCAACGAUCCGGUACUUCCUAAUCUAUUUUACCGCCUGCCUGCCCCGGGGGCAUAAAGCGGAAUAUCUUCUCAUCUCAGAGCUUACGCUGUAUCUGGGGAAACAAAGUAACCGCAGGCGUACUUGUGUGUGAGUCCAUGCAGAGAAGAAUCAGGAGAAGGCGGUGUGUACGGUCUUGUGCAGUCGUGCUCUGUGCACUUCUAUGGCUGCCUGCGGACUCACCAUGGGAUGCUCAGCGAGGAAGGACAUUCCUGUAUCAUUUUGCAUCAUGCUUCCCUUCUCUAGCGGGAUUGAUCACCAAAACAAACAAAAUGCCGCUCCAUGGCAUCAGACGAGGAACAUUCUAGAAGUGGCAGCACGGUGCUAGCCAGCUGGACUGGUAUCAGAAGAGAGCUAAAUCUGAAUUCUUCCUGACACCGGUUCUUAUCUUUCCUGUCUUGGGCUUCAGGUGGCCAUUUAUAAAACUGGAGAGAUUUGUGGCUAAUUAAUUUCUAGAGUUAUUUCACACACACAAGCUUCGAUGUGCCUGGAAUGCGUUAUCGCCUCAGUUUUGCUUCUUGCUUCCUUGAAGAUGCCCUUUUAGCCACCCCUGGUCAAUUAAUGGUGUCUUUUAAAAAUAUCUUCAUAGCCCACAUUUCUAUUUGAUUUACAUCAUCUAGAAAAACAGGAACUCCUUGUGAGGGGAUUCUGUUCUGUUUUCUUGUGUCUCUGGUAACUAUUAGAGGUCAUAAAUGCUUAUUAUUGAGCUGAACUUUAGCCAAGGGCUGCAGCCACUUGCACGGGUAAUGACAGCCGAGCUGAAGACUGAGCACUCCACUUGAGAGAUGCCUGGGGACGUGGUUCCAGAAGACAAGAGAACUCAGUGAUGGGCAAACAUUCGGUGCUGUCUUGCCUUGUGGUGGGGAAAAGCUUUACUCAACCUGGCUGGAAUUGUGGGCAGCUUUGAAAUCACCUGCCUCAGGACAGUCCACUUAUUUUUCCUGGAUUUGUACCUGCUGGGGUGCGAUUCCUUCCCUGGUUUCCAAGCACUACUCUGGUACAAGAAGUAGAGCCUGUGGCCCAGGAACUCUAGCUAUGUGGAUCCAGGACUGCAGCAAUGAAGCCUGGAAUUUGAAGCCGGCCCAGGAGUACAAAAGUCCUAGAAGUGGCCCAAUGGUCAUUUGGACUUGACCUUGGCAAAAAUAAUGCUAUGAAGGAACUCAGUGAAGCUACCCGUCUAACGUGUUCUUCCCCUCCCCAGAAAUCAAGGCGGCAUGUGAGGAAUUAUUCUCUGGAAGUGUAGCUGGAGCUUUUUAUGUUUAUUUUUAUCACAGCUUGGAAGUAAAUGUAAUAUAAGAGAAUCUGAUCUGAAGCGA